rnacentral:rRNA from 1 species
UACGGGGGGUGCGAGCGUUGUCCGGAAUCACUGGGCGUAAAGGGCGCGUAGGUGGUUUGAUAAGGGUGUGGUGAAAGCCCGGGGCUCAACCCCGGAUCUGCCGUGCCGACUGUCAAACUCGAGGACUGUAGAGGCAGACGGAAUUCCGGGUGUAGCGGUGGAAUGCGUAGAGAUCCGGAGGAAGACCGGUGGCGAAGGCGGUCUGCUGGGCAGUUUCUGACACUGAGGCGCGACAGCGUAGGGAGCAAACAGG